ACGGGUGAGUAACACGUGGGAACGUGCCUUUAGGUUCGGAAUAACUCAGGGAAACUUGUGCUAAUACCGAAUGUGCCCUUCGGGGGAAAGAUUUAUCGCCUUUAGAGCGGCCCGCGUCUGAUUAGCUAGUUGGUUGAGGUAAUGGCUCACCAAGGCGACGAUCAGUAGCUGGUCUGAAAGGAUGAUCAGCCACAUUGGGACUGAAACACGGCCCAAACUCCUACGGGAGGCAGCAGUGGGGAAUCUUGCGCAAUGGGCGAAAGCCUGACGCAGCCAUGCCGCGUGAAUGAUGAAGGUCUUAGGAUUGUAAAAUUCUUUCACCGGGGACGAUAAUGACGGUACCCGGAGAAGAAGCCCCGGCUAACUUCGUGCC
rnacentral:rRNA from 1 species